GUGGGGAAUAUUGGACAAUGGGCGAAAGCCUGAUCCAGCCAUGCCUCGUGUGUGAAGAAGGUCUUCGGAUUGUAAAGCACUUUAAGUUGGGAGGAAGGGCAGUAAGUUAAUACCUUGCUGUUUUGACGUUACCGACAGAAUAAGCACCGGCUAACUUCGUGCCAGCAGCCGCGGUAAUACGAAGGGUGCAAGCGUUAAUCGGAAUUACUGGGCGUAAAGCGCGCGUAGGUGGUUUUGUAAGUUGGAGGUGAAAUCCCCGGGCUCAACCUGGGAACUGCCUCCAAAACUGCAUGACUAGAGUACGGUAGAGGGUAGUGGAAUUUCCCGUGUAGCGGUGAAAUGCGUAGAUAUAGGAAGGAACACCAGUGGCGAAGGCGACUACCUGGACUGAUACUGAAACUGAGGUGCGAAAGCGUGGGGAGCAAACAGGAUUAGAAACCCUGGUAGUCC
rnacentral:rRNA from 1 species